CAAACGCAGAAGCUGAAGACGAUGAAUCACACGGAGAGAGCGACCCUGACCCUGAACCUGAAGACGGUGUUGUUCUUUCUUUUUCUUCUUCCUCCGUCACGUUCAGAUCAAUUAAACCACCCAUCAGAGAGAGAAAAAAAGAGAAGAGAGAGCAGAGAGUGAUGAGCCAAGUCUUAAAGCCAAGAUUUUUAAUUUUUCGUUUUUGUGAGAAAAAUAAAAGUUUUGAUUUUUCUUUUUUUUUGGACAAUGUUUAAGAGGAGAGAGAGAGAGAGGGGGUCAGAACAGAACAGUACUGAGUGCUCCUCUGUGUAGUACUGUGGCCUCUGCUGCUACGUCUGGUGAGGUGACUGAUGUGUGUGGUGUGGCUUUUAGACCUUUUGUGCGUGGUUUUGAUUUUAAGAUUUUUGAUAGAUUGGUUUCUUUCUUCCUUCCUUCCUUCCUUCUUUUUACUCCUUUUCUAUAUUUUAUUUUUAUGAUUUUAUUACACAACGGUUUUCUUGCAAUGUUGAUAAAUAAUACCAUUGGGUUUUUACAGAUGUACUUUAUACAUGUGGGUUUUUCUAUUACAAGUAUUAGUGAUUGUACAAUGCAAGAAUAAUGGCUUAAUGAACGUCUUUAGUGUGAAAAGUAAUAACGUCAUUUAAUCUU